CAAACUGCCCACGACUGUAUCCGAGAACAAGCUAAUUGGAAAUGAAUGCUCUUGAAGAGUCACGAAUUCCCCUAAAGAAAAAUCCCCUGCUUCACAGACAGAGAUAAGAGUUUAAAGAUACACGUCUGGGCCGCACAACAAAAGGAUUACAGGCGAAGCACCCUUAUCCUGGAGAAGUUCAUGAUUCCCAUGGUUCCACAGAAGCUGUCCAUCUUGAUCUCUGCAAACACCACACAAGCACAAAGAUCAGAGGCACCCAUACCCCGCGGGGAGGAUCAAGUGCUGGACCAAAAUGUACACAGGUUCCAACUCUCCCCAGACUCUACCCCUUGCAUCAGCUGCUCCACACUGAUCCGCCAAGUUCCUCCAGCCGCAAACAGGUGGCUGGAGAUGAAAUGACUGGCACUUUGAGCCUUAGUUUGGAGUUACGACUGGGUCUGUACUGGAAGACAACGUCUCGGCCUCUGCAGGCUGGCGAGCUGGAGUCGGUGCUCACUCGCAGACUGGCCUCUAUCUGAGGAGAAUGGGUUGGUUGGGUAUGGUUGGCUCUUCGGAUUCGACAAGCUGAACCACCAUGCGAGCAGGCCUUUAUGUCUAAGAUCACAUCUGGCAGGUGACAAUGUGUCUCCAGUUCAAGGCUGAGAUGAUUUUAUUGCCAUUCCAUCGUAUACACGUACACCACCAAAUGAAACAGCGUCCCAAGGUGCACAACACCGUAUUUACCACUCACACACACAACACAUAAAGUCAUAUUGCCACAAAUAAUUAACAAGCAGUAAAGUGCAUUUAUUACACAAGUUAAAAAGUAAACAGUGUGACACUGCCACCGUUCCAUAGGUGAUGAGACCUGGGAGGAGGCAGGGAGUUCAGUCUUGCGGCCCAGGGGAAGAACCUGUUUCCCAGCCUGACACUUCUUGUCUUAAUGCCAACCUAAGUCUUAAUUUCUGGGAUGAAGGAAAUAAAGACGUGUCUCUGGUGUCUCAAAUUAAGGACAUGAGACCUUCAACAUGGUGUGAAUUUUUAAUUUAUUCUUAAUUCCCACCAAUUUAUCCCAAAGCUUCGAUCUGUCUGUUGACCAGGGUUCACAACUUUUUUCACAACUGGACUUUGAAC